CUUGUAGCAGGAAUUAGUAUUUGAUACUCAGUAUUAGAGCAAAACCUCUGAAGUGCAGCACUCAGCAGCAGUGCCAACACUGUUCUGCAUGUACACAAAUGAGAAACCAAUUUUUCUGUGCUGUAAAUAGCUUGUGCAAUUAAUAGCAGUUAGCUUUUCCUGUCUUUUUCCAAUUACAGACUCAGGAAAAAAAGGGCAUAUUAAGUUACCUCAUGCAAUUCUGCAAUUCUGGACCACCUACUGCUAGAAGUGCAAUUUGAGAAUGAGAUGCUACUGCUAAUUAUCAAAAUUAAAACCUGAAAUAGCAACAUUCACUUUAAAAAGUGAGAUGAUUUCCUAUUGCAGGCAUAACUUUCCACUGCUCUCCCCUGCCAACAGUUAUCACUUUUGUAUGAGACUUCUGGACUGAAACCCUGAACACAGAAAUGCCAUCAUGCAGAAAACCUUUCAAAACAUUUCAGGUCACCAUUUUGGGUCUUUCAUAACAAAGCCAUUUAUUUACCCUUGGCUAAUUACCUUUUAGUCUCUCUGCACAGACACAAAAUAUUUGUGUUUCUAUUUUGUCUUUUCUUUUACAUUUUCAGACAGCUGCAGCCAUUUCCAAAAUCAUCAUAAUAUUUCCACCAUGAUGUUGGGAAAAAAAUUCCUCCUGGACAGCACCACUGUUAAUACAACAACAACAAAAUUACAUGUGUGUAUGCAUAUGCAUGUGCACACACACACACAUGUAGUGUGACCCGAAUAAAAAUGUGGUGAUGUCUAAUUUGACCUGAGAAAACCAGAACAGCACGUCGACAUAAACAGGAAAAGUUCGACAAUAUUUGCAGCACAGCAUCACCAAUCUCUCUUACCCUGCGCUGAACAAGCGUUUCCAAUUGAAAGAAAUAAUUAGCAUGCCAAAAAAAUUCAAAGCACUAGCAAAUACCAAAGCUUUAACUUGGCAUUAGCAAAGAUCAAUGGGAAUUCAUCACUGUAAGCCCACCACGAGCACUUGCUGCAUAUCCCCAGCCCAGCCAGGAUCACAUCCCCAGCACAGCACAGCCAGGAUCACAUCCCCAGUACCCCCAGGACCACCCAGCCCUCAGAGCUGCAGGGGCAGUGCCUGUGCCAGGCGCACUCCAGUGCCCAUCGCGCCCUGUGCACAGCUCCUGUCCCUCUGUCACAGCCUGGCGUGCCAUGUCACCUGCAAAGGGUCACCCAGGCCCCAUGGCAGCCAGGCCAGUUCCAUGUGACAGCCUGGCACGCUGUCAGCCCGGUUUGGCUGGACAGCAGCAGGCAGGGGGGACAAACAGCAGAUGGCUUUUCCUAUCUCCACAGCAAUUUAAUCGCAGUGUCCGUGACGCCACUGGCGUGCUCCACGCCACCUCCAGCGCCCUGCUGCAGGGUGAGCAAGCUGCUCUCCCCAAGGGCAGCCCUUGUGACCAGCCAGCAAGUGUCUGAAGUGCAGUCAGGACACAGCCAUGCUCACUCAACUCCAACUUCGUAACAGGAACAGAGCACGACACAUCUGACCAGCUCAGGCACAGAGGAAAAGUGCUUGUACUGCAGGAGAGUUAUGACACUGGAAAUCAGGGAUAUGGGAUGAGCCCAGACCCAUGCUGAGCUCCCCUGUAAAUGUAGGUGAGCUGGCCUGACAGCUUGGCAAACACCUCAAAUCAGGCUGCCCAAAAUAGAAACAAGUAAAGUUAGGUGCUGCUUUGAAAAUGUAUUUCUUGGCUUUCUCUUUAUGAACUGUAAAACCAGAUGAAAAUGCCUGCACACUGUCCCGGGCAAUGUGAGAGCUCCGCUAACAGAAGCACCUCAGAUAUUGAGAUGUCACCAGGCAGAGAUUUCAUUUAAGCAGGGGAGCAUUCUCCACCUAUGUAAUUAAUGCUGAUCUACAUUUGUGUGACCCAAAGCCAGGUUCCUCUGCACUAGAGGGGAUGUGGGGAUGACACAGCUGAUAUGCAGGCAAACCCUGCACAAAAGGAAGGCAAAGGCAGCAUCUAUGAUCUUAGUAAAGAACAAAGACUAUUAAGUGUGUUGUCUUUUCCCAGCCUUGACUGAAAUUAGGAAACAAGCAGAAAAAGUUUAAGCUGGUUGUGUUUUGCUAAGUUGGUGAGAGCAUGGUGUUGAUAACACCAAGGUUGUGGGUUCAAUCCCUGUAUGGGCCAUUCACGUAAGAACUGGAUUCAGUGAUCCUUGUGAGUCCCUUCCAACUCAGAACAUUCUGUGAAUCUGUGUUUUCAGCUCCUUAGCAAGACAAAAGUAAAAACCCCAAGGCACAGUAGUUGAUUUUAUAUUUCUUGAAGGGUAUACUAACAUCAGUUCCCCAGGCUAGACUACAAACUUGGGCUCUUUGACAUAUCCUGGGGACAUACACACAUGGAUGCAGCAGCAGCUAAAGAAAACAGCUGUAAUUAUUCCCAAACCUCUAUAAAUCACAACAGGGGAGCAGCUGGAAGCGGAGAUAGAGAGCCAAAGUUUGACAAAUGGAAAAGACAAAAUCAUUGGAAAAAACCUUUCUGGGAUGUGUAAGCAAGCUAAUGAAGAGUAGAAAUAAAUAAAGUAUUAUAGAUAGGGUAUAUAUAAAA
rnacentral:lncRNA from 1 species